rnacentral:rRNA from 1 species
UUCGUAGGCGGCCAAGCAAGUCAGGGGUGAAAUCCAACGGCUUAACCGUUGAAUUGCCCUUGAAACUGCUUGGCUUGAGUACUGGAGAGGAAAGCGGAAUUCUCGGUGUAGCGGUGAAAUGCGUGGAUAUCGAGAGGAACACCCGUGGCGAAAGCGGCUUUCUGGCCAGAUACUGACGCUGAGGAACGAAAGCCAGGGGAGCAAACG